GCCUCGGCGGCUGCUCGGCCGAGCCCAGCGGCGCCGGGGCCGAGCCGGGCCGGGCCGGACAGCGCAGCACGGUGCCGUCGGGAGGUGCCGGCCCUCCAGCUCGGGUACCAUAACCAGGGCCGAGGCAGCAUCUUCUCCUGCAUCCCUGAGCACGUGACUUGCCAAGCGCCCGUCCAUCACUCCUGUCACCGGUGGAGAAGCCACGCACGGGCCUGGGCACUGGCGACCUCGCUGGUCUGACCUCCUAGGUCUGCCCUAUGGCUUCGGGACCCAUUCUUCAGGGAAGCAGAGCUCCUCCAGAACCGCUCAUCCCGUCCUGCCUGGCUGCAGACCGAGCCCAGGGCCACGGAGCCACCGCUCACACCUACUGAGAUACUCCACAGACUGUCAGCAAGCAGCUCACGUGCGUGUGGUCCCUUCACAGCAUGAAACACUCAGCAGCAUCACCCCCGGAUGAGCUUUCAGAAGUUCUGGUUUGUUUAUUAAGCGAGGCCAGGCUGCCCGUUGCGAUUUUGGGGCGUGUGUAUCCCUUCUCCCUCUCCUGAGUGCCGUGGAUCCCGAGAGCCGUCCCCUGGGAUGUUCUCCCUCGGGCUCAAAGCAGCAGCAGCAGCAGCGAUCGACCCAGACCGACCCAACGGGGCGUAUUUUGGAGCUGUUGGGAAGGAGCUCCCGUGGUUGGGGCUCUCCUGGAGCAGAUGAGUGACACACUAAUGAACGGGAGGGUGCCCCUGCCCGAGAAGGCCUUGUCCGAGGGCUACGCGCGGCUGCGCUACAGGGACACCUCUCUGCUCAUCUGGCAGCAGCAGCAGCAGAAACUGGAAUCGGCUCCUCCCAACACGUACCUGAGCCGGAGCCGGAGCAUGUGGUACUCGCAGUACGGCAAUGAGGCCAUCCUGGUGCGGGACAAAAACAAGCUGGAUGUCUCCAGGGACACGGGGCAGUCCAAGUUUUGUGCCAUUAUGUGAUUUCCGCGGGUUUAAAUUAGGGAGCCGCGCGUGGAGAGAAACCAGACUCGUGUCGAGCUGGGGGAGGUGGGUUUGCACCAUCUUCUCUCAGAGGUGCAGCUGAAGCAGCGUGUACAGGAUAGGCCAGACAGGCUGGCUGGAGUUUCUGUUUGUUUUUGCUGUUGAUAGACUCCCAUUUUGCAUGUCAUUGCGUGUGUGCAACAAAACCAGCCUCGCUUGGGAGCUCACGAGCCUGUUGCUGCCCAGCAUCUUGGCAGGGUCCGUGCUGGACCAUGUGUCGCUUGUAAGUGGCUCGUGUACCCUGAGAAACACCCGCUGUCAUUUGGGCCUGUCCCCAGCCAGCAUUUUACUGGCAAGUCCUUAUUUCCAGGGCUCCGGGAAUGCUGAUGGGGCAGAGGUGGGCGCAGAUCCAUUUCCAUCAGGGCCAUGGUUUCGGGAACUUGAUCUCCAAAACCACCUGGCUGCUACUUGUUCUGCUUGCCCUGUCGCCCUUUAAUUCCUGCCCUGGAAGUGGUCUCUUACAACCAGGUAAUGGAGUCAUUUAUUGUGGGGAGGAAGAGGGAAAGAACGUGUUGAGAAUUUAAUCCAAGCCUUCACAACACCUGGCAGGAAAGGUGCUCUGCAGUUUUAUCCCAUGCAAAGCCAAGGGCCCUCUCUGAUCUCACAGUGUGGGAUCAUGGAAAUAACAGGACUUCUGGAGUCAGGGGAGCUGACUCCUUUCAUGCAGGUAGAUCCCUGGCCCAGCUUUGGGAGCAGAUCACCCAGUGAACCACCUGAAAGAGAGGGACAGGCCCAGGAAAGCAAAGGAAGAAAGCUACUGUAAAUACACACAUCUCCUAAGGGACACGAGGAAAGUCCUACACAGCAGUACCUACCCCUGAGUCCAGUUGGGGAAGGGAAGAGUCCACUGAAAUUUGCUUUCCAUUCAAGUUUUAGUGCAUGCAGUAGCUUGGAAGGGUUUAACUUCUAAUUCAGGUUGGAUUGUAGAUUAGGUGCAUGUAUUUUAAAAGUAGUGUCUGGGAUUGUUUCAACUAACUGAAGGAUUUUAGGAGGGAAGAGCACUUCCAUUGCAGCUCUUGGGCACAGAGGCUGCUUUCAGGUUGUUUCCGUUACCGCUGAAUCUCGACUUGCUCAAGGCAAGAUCAAGCUGAGGAACUCAGCCCAGCAAGCACCUGAAUCUUUCGUUAAAAACAAAACUACCACUUCCAGGGGUGUAAAUGACGUACCCAGGGCUCAUCAUUAAAAUGUAACAUCGGGGUGAAGUCACAGAGUCCAUUUCUGUCCUGCCUAGGACGCGUGUCUAACCCAGCAGCGCUUGGGCACGGGCUGAACUCCAGGCAAAUCAGUAUUUGAUGUUGACUUCAGUAUGGAUUAUUUACCUGCCUAAAAUCAGGCACAGUCAUUUCUUCUAUUAUAUUUAUCUGAAACCUCCUUGGCAUUUUUGAAGCACUUUUGUUUAUUUAUUUUAAUCCAGUGAAGAACCUCUUCCACCUCUCCCACGUGGGUUAAAUGCUGCAACACACACGUACACUCAACCUUGCUGAACUCAAGGUGCUGAGCAGAACACACCUGUUUUAACGUGAGAUCGUAGGGGUUUGGUGUUCUCAGCCCUGAUCCAUAGCACUGCAAACAAUAGGCAGCUCAUUAUGUUUUAAAAGUAACUAUUUCUGCAUGUGUUGGUGUUUGGUAUCUUACGUGUGUGCUCGUAGAUUUAAACCUGCUGAUGGACCUCGCUGCUUUCCUUCCCCGUGCAUUGCUCUGAACACAAACAGCCCUCUUGGUCUUGUCAGGACUAGCUCUGGAAGAGAAGUAUGUCAGUGAAUAAAUGUUUUUCAACUGGGUAUUCAAUGAGAUUCACAAACCAGCGAGGGUUGGCAAGCUGCCGGUGCUCCGGUGCCCGGUGAGGUAGAGCAUUGCCAGGGAUGUGUGACCCACCUGGGCCUCCAGUUCCUGGCUGAGUGAACAGGUGAUUAUUUACACAAACAGGCAGGAGGCUGGUCCAAAAUCUCCCCUGGGAACUGCGGGUGGAGGCGACCUGGAGAGGCAGGAGAGGUGGGUUCUGGGCCUGCCCAGCAGCCCUGGGGAGCACGUGAACUCUGGGAGUUUAAGGAACAGCACAUCCCCCAAACCAGCUGUUCAUUUUCUUUUCUUAUAGAAAAAGAAACCCAACACUUAUUUUCUUUUUAAUUUCAGUAAGAAAGAUGGUUAUUUUGGGUAUAAUCAGUCUCUUUUUGUUAAUGUGGCUGGUAAACCAAAAUUCAGUUAUUUGCAGUGUUAAUUUGGACUAUACAAGACUCAAAACAUAAGUGUGUGCAUAAAUUCUUCCAGGAUUGAGGCUGGAUGUGACAGUACAGGAAGAAGAGGAUGAGUUGUCCUUCCAUCUCUGUGAAUGUGACUGUAGUUUUCCAUAUCUGUGUGUCACUGGUCACAGCAGGUUUGUGGUGUGGCUGCUGUGACCGAGUGUUUCUUUGAGCCAGUUGUGUGGUGUUGAUGCACUUGUUUAAAACACCGUUGUAGCAUCUUUGAUAAAGUGCAUUAAAAUGAUUUGAAUGCA